UACAGAGGUCUCAAGCGUUGUUCGGAAUCACUGGGCGUAAAGGGUGCGUAGGUGGCGUGGUAAGUCAGAUGUGAAAGCCCGGGGCUCAACCUCGGAACUGCAUCCGAUACUACCAUGCUAGAGUACUGAAGAGGUGACUAGAAUUCUCGGUGUAGCAGUGAAAUGCGUAGAUAUCGAGAGGAAUACCAAAGGCGAAGGCAGGUCACUGGGCAGUUACUGACACUGAGGCACGAAGGCUAGGGGAGCAAACGGG
rnacentral:rRNA from 1 species